CGAACCGUGGCUUAGCGGUCAGAGCGUCGGGCGCGAACCCUGAAGACGCAGGUUCGAAUCCUGCCGGUUCCG